CCCCUGGCGGGGUAAUGUAUGUCUGCAGGAACAUUUUUCCCCCAGACUCAUGACCUUACCCGUCAUCCUUUGCGAAUCUCAUUGCCGACCGCCAUCUUGCAGCAAGGACAGAGACACCGAAGGUAAUCAUGCCGGUCCGACCGCAGGCAGAAUGGAACCUGAUCAUGCUCCUCACCAACUUCGGUAAAAACUGGUACCAGACCACCCGGCCAUACCUCUGGGAGUACAGAGAUGUAGCCCCAGGACUGGUCAUCACUGGCUACCUGUGGUAUAAGAUCACUGCAGCUGGGUACAGGUCCAGGAGACAGAAGAGACUUGAGGCUGGUGCAAGUGGUGGACAUUAAGAGUGAUCUCAUCCCAGCAACAACACAAGCUAUCUCCCAACCUCCUGAGGAUUGCUGCUGCCAACAAGCUGAUCCUGUUGAUGACAUCAUGGAUGAAUCCAACUUGUGUUUAGCUUAACCAUAACUUUCACUAAACAACAAAGUGAUAUGUAGUCUGUUGAGAGAAAGGAUGUGCAUUGUUUGAAAGAUGUACACUGUGUAUUAAACUUUAAAGUGAAUAAAACAAGUCUGAGAAGUCUG